rnacentral:tRNA from 1 species
GGCCCGUUGGUCAAGCGGUUAAGACACCGCCCUUUCACGGCGGUAACACGGGUUCGAAUCCAGUACGGGUCA